GACAAAAAUUCGUAGACCAAUAAAUUUUUGUCUCUUCGGAGACCAAUAUGGCCAGAGUCAACAGGAGCAGGAGAGACAUGGUAGCUCUAAAAUCUGCAUAACUUGAGAAGACUAAUUGCAUCAAAGGCCAUAAAAGAACCGAAACAAAGGUCAGUUUAUGUUUGAUCUUUGUAUCUUAGGAUGCUACUCGGAUAUAUAUGUAUGUUUGUUUGUUGACCUGCAAAAUCUAAAAUCUGUUCACUAUUUAUUCUUGGCCUUCCAUAUUUCUGCUUAAUUUGAUUGUCUUUAGCUUGUUUUAAACUUUGUUCUUACAAAAUCUUUGGAACUCCAUUUCUGAUAUGCUACACAUGUUUAUCGAGCUACUAUUAUGAACUUGUUCUUUCGUGUUUAAUGGCUGCUAAUUAAAGACUGGAUAUACAGAAUCCUCUCAGAAAGAGUGAAAAAUGAAGAAGAUAUAUAUAUGUAUAUACAAGUGAACUGGCUUUUAAUGUUGUCUGAUGAAUUUGGAGCUGGUUACUAUUACUAUUAAUUGUAGUGAUUCUAACUAGUAUAUUGGAAGUUUAAGCUUAUAAUACAAUCACAUUCGUUUUCUUUCCUUCAAUCAGUUCUCGACUCGCGGGCCUUUUUCGAAAGCACUCAAAGUACCCUUCAUCGUGUAUUUUCAUGAUAUCUCAAGCAAAGCAUUUAUAUUUUGGUUUGGAUUAAAGUGUUCUCAGUUUUCGGAAUGAAAGUCUGUGAGUCUGAGUUUAGAAGCUAAUUCAGCUGGGCGGGAAGGUGUUCUCAGGGGUGUAAUUGAAGCUUCUGGGUCCAGUAUUCUUAUUAUUGAACAUUGAGAUAGUGAUUGCUGGUGAUCUUGAAGUUCCAGUAUACGAGAGGCAG
rnacentral:lncRNA from 1 species